rnacentral:rRNA from 1 species
GACGAACGCUGGCGGCGUGCUUAACACAUGCAAGUCGAACGGUAAGGCCCUUCGGGGUACACGAGUGGCGAACGGGUGAGUAACACGUGGGUGAUCUGCCCUGCACUUCGGGGUAAGCCUGGGAAACUGGGUCUAAUACCGGAUAGGACCACUGCCUGCAUGGGUGGUGGUGGAAAGCUUUUGCGGUGUGGGAUGGGCCCGCGGCCUAUCAGCUUGUUGGUGGGGUGAUGACCUACCAAGGCGACGACGGGUAGCCGGCCUGAGAGGGUGACCGGCCACACUGGGACUGAGAUACGGCCCAGACUCCUACGGGAGGCAGCAGUGGGGAAUAUUGCACAAUGGGCGCAAGCCUGAUUCAGCGACGCCGCGUGAGGGAUGACGGCCUUCGGGUUGUAAACCUCUUUCAGCACCGACGAAGCGCAAGUGACGGUAGGUGCAGAAGAAGGACCGGCCAACUACGUGCCAGCCGCCGCCGUAA